UGUGGCUGAUGGAAAACGGGAAGGUCGAGUGUUUGCUCCCUACUCAGUAUUUAAAGGCAAAGCAGCACUUUCUGCUGAACCUAGGCUGCCCACAUUUAAUAGACUGGAUUCUGGAGGUGUUAAACUCAAUCGUCGAGGUGUCAUUAUGUUGACAUUCUGGCCAUCCGUUGGUGAGCGCAAAUAUGACUGGGAAAAGAGGCAGUUGUUUGCUUUAUCAGCAACAGAGGUUGGAUCAUUGAUAAGUAUGGGGACCAGAGAUUCUUCUGAAUUCUUUCAUGAUCCUUCAAUGCUGUCUAGUAAUGCUGGUCAAGUUAGAAAGAGUUUGUCAAUUAAGCCAAAUGCUGAUGGGAGUGGUUAUUUCGUUUCAUUGAGUGUUGUUAACAAUAAUCUCAAAACCAAUGAUCGGUUUACUGUUCCUGUCACUACUGCCGAAUUUGCUGUUAUGCGAACAGCUUUCAGUUUUGCUUUGCCUCACAUCAUGGGAUGGGAUCGCUUCACUAAUCGGCCUUCAGAAAGCAUCUCUCAAAGUCCCUCAAAGGUGGUUCCACAACUAAUGGAGGCGGAGUGGGAUAGAUGAAAAUUUGUGUUUAUUGUGUAGUAGUCUCAUUCUAACAUGAGCUAUGUGCUCUUUUGGCUGUGAAAGGAACUUUGCUUGCCUAGUUAAAUUUUUUUCCAGGUGCAAUGUAAACUUCGAAGCUAUCUAGUUCUCCUGCAUUGCUGGUUGAUUAUGUCGUACUGCUCUAAACUUCAAAAUGUAUUUUCAUAGUUGAAGCUUCAGAGAGUAUAUGUUAUG
rnacentral:misc_RNA from 1 species